rnacentral:rRNA from 1 species
UACGUAGGGGGCAAGCGUUGUCCGGAAUCAUUGGGCGUAAAGAGCGUGUAGGCGGCUCGAUAAGUCUGCUGUGAAAGUCCAGGGCUCAACCCCGGAACUGCCUUUGAUACUGCGAAUCUCGAGUCCGGAAGAGGUGAGUGGAAUUCCUAGUGUAGAGGUGAAAUUCGUAGAUAUUAGGAAGAACACCAGUGGCGAAGGCGGCUCACUGGUCCGGUACUGACGCUGAGGUGCGAAAGCGUGGGGAGCAAACAGG